rnacentral:lncRNA from 1 species
UGUCCUCUUUUGGAAGACAACAUGGCGUCAGCGGCAACAGCGAGAAUCCAAGGUUACGCCUUCUUUCUUUGCAUGAACAUUUGGGCGGCGUUAUGCAAAUCUUCACACAUCGUGACGUAGACAUGUGGGGGCGUGUUUAAACGAGGCGUUUUUAGGAGGGCGUGGACGAGUCUUAACUUUUAUAAAGAAUAACUCUUUGGAUUUGAGACUUUAGUCUUUGCAACUUUACAGAGCUUCUUUAUUCACCAAGAGCUUGUAACACUUGUAACAAAACUUGAAAUCGCAUCAUAUGACCCCUUUAAAAAGUUUUCUAUUUUAAUUUAAAAAAUGUAAUGUAUUUCUGUGAUGGCAAAGCUGAAUUUUCAGCAGCCAUAACUCCAGUCUUCAGUGUCACAUGAUCCGUCAGAGAUCAUUAAAAUAUGCUGAUUCGGUGUUCAAGAAAUAUUUAUUAUCAAUGUUAAAAAUGGUUCUGCUCCUUAAUUACAUUUGUAUUGUCUUUCUGUCACUUUGUAACAAUUGAAUGCGUCCCUGCUGAAUAAAAGUAUAAUUUUUUAAAUACAUAAUAAUAAACUACUGACCAAAAGUUAUUCUAAAGGUUUUAAGAGACAUGUCUGUGAUUGACUGGAUACUUCGACAUAACUGAGAACUCUGAGCAAUAACAUUUUCCUUCUGUGUGUCUGUGUGUGUGUGCUAAAUGGAAAAACUAUAAUAAUUGCACCAUCUCUGCUGAGUGUAAAACAGUUUUUCAAACUGCUGACAUCCAAUCAAUGUGCUUAUCAUUUCAGCCCUUCAAGACAGUCUUCACUACCUGCCACGUCUUUGACAAGUUUGGACGACUGUACUCCAACGCUGGGCCUACAACUGUACGAAGCCUCCUGGCCGGCAUCGCCACCAGCACCCCGUUGAUGAAUCUGAGGCACGGGCAGCAGUAAUUUGGAGAUGCAAGGGCUAUCUCUUUGAUUUGCUCCUGGUCUGAGGUAGUCCAUCACUUCACAGUAACUCACCCUGCCGCUGACUCCUGCCUCCAAAAAAAACACGCUUUUCCAUCAGGGCGAUUAGAAAAAGCCCUAGUUGGCUGAUCUGAUUACUCCCUGUUUUAACACUAAGU